rnacentral:rRNA from 1 species
UACAUGGGGUGCAAACGUUGCUCGGAAUCAUUGGGCGUAAAGCGCGUGUAGGCGGUCCGGUAAGUCGGCUGUGAAAGUCCAGGGCUCAACCCUGGGAUGCCGGUCGAUACUGCCGGACUAGAGUUCGGAAGAGGCGAGUGGAAUUCCCGGUGUGAGCGGUGAAAUGCGCAGAUAUCGGGAGGAACACCAAUGGCGAAGGCAGCUCGCCGUGGG